rnacentral:rRNA from 1 species
CAGUCGCCGCGGGAAUACGGAGGGUGCAAGCGUUAUCCGGAUUUACUGGGUUUAAAGGGUGCGUAGGCGGACUUGUAAGUCCGAGGUGAAAUCUCUGAGCUUAACUCGGAAACUGCCUUGGAUACUAUAGGUCUUGAAUCUCGUUGAGGUUUGCGGAAUAUGUCAUGUAGCAGUGAAAUGCGUAGAGAUCGGAAGGAACAUCUGUGGCGAAGGCGACUAUCUGGGCCAACACUGACACUGAGGCACGAAAGCGUGGGGAGCAAACAGGAUUAGAUACCCGUGUAGUCCCUGUCUCUUAUAC